CUGAGGAGUCUGGCUCAAAUAAUUGUUCCCCAGGACCCAUUUUAGGUCUUCGUUAGCUACAGAAGACCUGUUGGCAUUUUCUUUUCCUUUCUUCUUUGUCCAAGGUCACCUCUCUGAUUCGGUUACAGAUUGCGCUAGAUUUUCUAGGUCACCACUUCCGGGCAACUCAAACUCCAAGUCACUGAGUUGGGCUGGCUUGGCUCCUUAGGAAGGGAAGAGAUUUGUGUGAAGCUGAGGGAGGGUCCAGAUGACUGCUGGAGAACAUCCCAGUUCUCAUUCAUAAAAGACCAACAAGGAUACACAGUGCGACCAGCCUCCUCCUGCUGCUGUUGGUGGAGUUUUAGUCUUCUGGAAGUAGCCUCCCAAAUUCUGGGAUUAUAGAGAAACGGGAACUCACGGACAUGCUGUUGCUCUUGACGCCUUUGCCAUGGGCAGCUGCCAUGGUCACCGUUACUUCUCCGGAAGCUGAGGCCCCUGCUCAUCCACGGUCACUCUUCGCCAGUGCAUCUUGCCUUAUUGACCUCUCACCUGUCCCACGGAAAUGCCUCAUUGGUUGUUGUCCUGUUAAGCCUGAACUUUCUUUCCCCUAAACUGUAAGCUUUGUGAGAACAUAGCCCUAUUCUUUUUCCCUAGGACCUAGGAUAAUUCUUUGUUCAUUGCAUGCUUCCAAAAAAUAUUAGUGGAAUUAUGACAUACAUGAUGCUUUCCUUUCUGAGUCAUAUCUGAGGAUACCAGGAAGAGAACAAAACAAAACAAAACAAAACAAAACAAAACAGAAGAGACACCAUGACCACGGCACCUCGUAAAGUAAAGCAUUUGACUGGGGCUUGCUUACAGAUUCAGGUUAUCCUUACGGCAGGGAGAUGGCAGCGUGCAGGCAGACAUGAUAACAUGGCAGCUGAGAGUUCUACAUCCAGAUCCUCAGGCAGGAGGAGAGAGAGCCACUGGUUCUGGCUUGGGCUUCUGAAACCUCAAAGCCCACCCCCAGUGAUAUGCUUCCUCUAACAAGGCCACACCUACUCCAACAAGGCCACACCUCCUAAUUCUUCUAAAUUGUGCCAUUUCCUGAUGACUAAACAUUCAAAUACAUGAGCCUAUGGGGCCCAUUCUUACGCAAACCACCACAAGAGCCUAGGAUCAACCUGUCUGCUUUCCAGUGCUGAGGUUAUAAACGCACUGCCAUGUCUGGAUUUUCACGUGGGUGCUCGGGAUCUGAACUCAGGCCCUCAGGUAUUACACAGCCAGCACUUUACCUACUGUCAUGUCACCAGCUCAUUCCAUUCAUUUAAACAUACUGAAUCCAUUAUAUUGAUAUUUAUUGAAGGGUUAGCAUAUCCCAUAUACACCUCGAUAAAUGUUCUUUUAAACCCCUCAUGAUAACUCUAAGACUGGGGUCAACAGGUAUAUAACAUCGUUGAAUUUGUGCCUGGAUAGCUGCCUGCUCCCUCCUUCACCCUUCUGUCCAAGGCUUAGGAUAUCUUUGACUGUUCUUUCUUCCCUCUUACAAAAGACAAUGCCUUCCUGACUGGAUCUUUGUAAAUAUUGGUUCCUCUUUGUACCGGUUAUGCUAAAUACUCCAAUUUUCUUGUUACAAAGAAAGGCUAUUGAACUUUGUAAACCACAGAGCUGGUAAAGGACCGAGGACCAGCGUGAAUCCUUUGUGUGUCAAAUGAAUAUCAGUGAGUAUUUUGGGUAACAGGAAAGUAAUUCUAGAACGCGGAGAGACCAUAGGACAGGCCUGUAGCAGAGGGGGAAGAGAACGGAAAAAGGAACAAGUUGCUGUGUCUUCCCCCACCGUCUCCACCACAGCUUUGUAAACUGCACCCUAACUCUGAUAGGUGGCUGAGGAUUCAUUCAGUUGGGGUUCAAGAGAGGAGGGCUUAACGUCACCGGGUCUCUCCCAGUUACACCAGCCAGCCGUGAGGAAAAAUCCAGGAAAGGGCUACAGGAAUUCUGGGCAGUUUUGCCUUGGAUUUUGUAAAAGGUUAGCCUAGAAACUCUAGUGUUGUUUUAUGUGCAGACCAAGAUCUUAUCACAGGCGGCCGAGUAGCAACUGGGCCACUAGAUGGCGCCAGAUCGGCGUCAGGGGUGCUUUCGCCUUCAUUUAUGUGGAAGAGCAAUAGUCGUAAAACAUCGUAAAACCAACGAUGUUCUGAUGAACUCGGUGCUUCUCCGAAAAUGGGCUUUGAAGCUUUGCAGUCGUGAGACUGGGAAUGGAGCUGGGGCUGAGAAGGAGGACCCAGAGUCCUAAGGAACUGUGCCUAUAGGGUGAUAGUCCAGUAAUGAACCUGUAUUCCCACACCAGGGAAACCUGAUACUCGGCAGCAUUAGGGCAGGAAGGUCUGAGGAGGUCCUCUGGCCCCUUACUACAGAGAUGAAGAACUAUUCCUCAAGUGCUCUCCGCGAGGAAUAUCCCCCAGUUAUAGCCAAUUGCUUGGAUAAAUAUAUCACAUGCCUUAGAGCCUCCCUAGUAACUGUGUGGAUCCUACAAAUUUUACUUCCUUGCGUUUUGUUUUCAAGGGAAAUUUUGCUUCCUUCUUUCCUUUCCUCCCUCUUCCCUCCUUCCUUCCUUAUGAGACCCUGUCACACAUACACAAACAUACACAAUACAUAUAAACUGCCCCCACCAACACAAUAAACAAACAAACAAACAAACAAAAAAAUGUUUCCUGAGUUUGAGAGUCUGUCAUAGUAAAGAGUUGGCUCUGAGGAGAGAACCAUGGAGCCCUGGUUUAUAGCCAGGGGAUCAGAAGUAGAGCUGACAAUGUAAGUACUUGUGGUUGGUGUCUGUGGGACAGAGACCUGGAAGCAGGGGUCAGGGUCUACCAGGUUAGUGGGUUAGAACUGAGCAGACUUAAAGGAUGCCCCACUGCUGUCUGC